GUAGUCAUUAACCCGUGUUGUCUUCCCAGCUUCCUCCUAUUUGUCUGUGGUGUCUCACUUUGAGCAAGUGGCCCCGGAGCUUGAGCAAUCAAAGGACCGUGAUGUCGAAGACCGCACUGGCUGACUCAACGCUGUCUGGGUCAGCGUCCUUAUUUAGUCCCUUCCUCUUCUUGGUUUCGGAUCCCAGCCCGCGUGUGUGUCCUUUGCACAAGGAACAGGUGGCCUUCCACGAUUCCACAGGAUGGCAGUCCACAGUGUUUGCUGUGAUUGGUCUCAUGACGCACAGUCCAUUUUUUAUGGCCCCAGAGAUCAGCGGGCACUUGAGUUUUGUAGACAGAAGUGAAAGGUCUCUGCCAAGAGUUGCCCACGCUCCUGGCGUUUCCUUCAGCCUGGUUGCCUUUUUAUUUGUGUCCCUAACAGAUGUCCUGGAUUUAAAGAACUUGUUCAUUUUUCAGGGGAACCACCGUGGACAAAGAAGAUACUUUAGAGUGAGCAUUGUGAGUUGGCACAAGAUAAAACUGGGAAGGUGACCCAGAUCCUAGCCCUGGCUGUCAGGCAGAGUGACCCUGGACCGCAUUAAAACAACAGAAACAAUGCUGUGGGAUGAGUCUGACACCAAUCACACGACAGCACGUAAGCAUCCAGCAGAAACAGGCUCACUGUCUUGAACUACCUGGAUUUUAACCGAGAAGAGAAUGCAUCCUUAGGGCUAACAGAUGCUUUGGGCCCAACAUCAACCUCUGACACAAUUCAGAGAUUUAUGGAAAUAAGAUAUGAAAAAGAUACAUGAGACCCUCACAAUGAAAGUGUUACUGACAGCAUUCAGAACACAUUGGACUCCUAAUAGCAAAAUGGAAUGUUGAAAAAGUUUAGUUUUGUUGAAAGUUCAUGGAAGAAUGUAGUAGGUAUGCUUUAGGAUGUCUCUCAUCCACAGUACAUUUCCUUAGGAUCAUCCCUUACCAACAGACUCUCCUGAAGCCGAGGGCUUAGGUGACCACAUCUCUAUAGCCAUCACCCCCGCCACAGCUGAUGGAACCAGGGCGACGCCAGUGUCAGCUUGAUAGGGAAUACUGAACACAACCAGACCAAGAUGGUCUCUACGGAAACCAGAAAGCAAGGUCACAGAGGACGUGGGAUGCAAUUGUGUGUGGAAAGCCAAAGGCACGGCAAGCUGGAACUAGAGGGAAGGGGUGGACACAGCAGCGACAGCAAUAAUCGAGGCAGCUGACACUUAUGCUGUGUGUGCCAGCCACCUCUCUCUCUCAGGUUUAGAAAGACGAGCACCUGCAAUUCAUGAAGGGAACGUCUUCUCAAGGGAAACUCUGCAAGAGGAAACCAAGCUGCCGCGUGAGCUUGGAAUUACUUGGAAUACCCUUGGCUAAAUUACAGCUGCUGAAUCCAGUUUCUUAAGAUGUUGUCUUUUAGGACCUUUGCCCCAAUUUCCUUAAAGGAAUUACUUGUUCAUUUUUCAAGGCUUUUACCCACCUCUAGGACCCUCACCCCACUCAUCACCUGCCUCUGAUGCAAGGCACCACUUACAAGCUGCUGCUCUCCUCGAGAUGAAAAAGCUGGAAUCCUAAACAGUGUGCCAAGUCCUUGGUAUAGCUUUGGGAGGAAGCUGUCCUAUCGUGGAAACGACAUGAGCUGGGAAGCUCCCUUGGUCCCUUGGGUUUGCCAGGGAGGAUCAGACCAAGGGAGCUUCCAGGAAUGCAGGAGCAGGUACACC
ensembl:lncRNA